rnacentral:rRNA from 14 species
ACUACGUGCCAGCAGCCGCGGUAAAACGUAGGACACAAGCGUUAUCCGGAGUUACUGGGCGUAAAGGGCGUGUAGGUGGUUUUGUAAGUUCGGCGUGAAAUAUCUCGGCUUAACCGGGACAGGUCGUCGGAUACUGCAAGACUAGAGGACGGUAGAGGCGUGUGGAAUUCCGGGUGUAGUGGUGAAAUGCGUAGAGAUGCGGAGGAACACCAGUGGCGAAAGCGACUUUCUGGUCCUAAACUGACGCUGAGGCGCGAAAGCAUGGGGAGCGAACGGGAUUAGAAACCC